rnacentral:rRNA from 1 species
GAAUUCGCCCUUAGAGUUUGAUCCUGGCUCAGGACGAACGCCGGCGGCGUGCCUAACACAUGCAAGUCGAGCGAAUGAAGUUCCUUCGGGAACGGAUUUAGCGGCGGACGGGUGAGUAACACGUGGGCAACCUGCCUCAUAGAGGGGAAUAGCCUUCCGAAAGGGAGAUUAAUACCGCAUAAGAUUGUAGUACCGCAUGGUACAGCAAUUAAAGGAGCAAUCCGCUAUGAGAUGGGCCCGCGGCGCAUUAGCUAGUUGGUGAGGUAACGGCUCACCAAGGCGACGAUGCGUAGCCGACCUGAGAGGGUGAUCGGCCACAUUGGGACUGAGACACGGCCCAGACUCCUACGGGAGGCAGCAGUGGGGAAUAUUGCACAAUGGGGGAAACCCUGAUGCAGCAACGCCGCGUGAGUGAUGACGGCCUUAGGGUUGUAAAGCUCUGUCUUCAGGGACGAUAAUGACGGUACCUGAGGAGGAAGCCACGGCUAACUACGUGCCAGCAGCCGCGGUAAUACGUAGGUGGCGAGCGUUGUCCGGAUUUACUGGGCGUAAAGGGAGCGUAGGCGGAUUUUUAAGUGAGAUGUGAAAUACUCGGGCUUAACCUGAGUGCUGCAUUUCAAACUGGAAGUCUAGAGUGCAGGAGAGGAGAAGGGAAUUCCUAGUGUAGCGGUGAAAUGCGUAGAGAUUAGGAAGAACACCAGUGGCGAAGGCGCUUCUCUGGACUGUAACUGACGCUCAGGCACGAAAGCGUGGGGAGCGAAUAGGAUUAGAUACCCUAGUAGUCCACGCCGUAAACGAUGAAUACUAAGUGUUGGGGUAAAACUCAGAGCUGCAGUUAACGCAAUAAGUAUUCCGCCUGGGGAGUAUGCGCGCAAGCGUAAAACUCAAAGGAAUAGACGGGGGCCCGCACAAGCGGUGGAGUAUGUGGUUUAAUUCGAGGCAACGCGAAGAACCUUACCAGGUCUUGACAUGGAGCUAAAGGCCCUAGAGAUAGGGAGAUAGUUAUAGCUCACACAGGUGGUGCAUGGUUGUCGUCAGCUCGUGUCGUGAGAUGUUGGGUUAAGUCCCGCAACGAGCGCAACCCUCGUCGUUAGUUACCAUCAUUUAGUUGGGGACUCUAGCGAGACUGCCGGUGACAAACCGGAGGAAGGUGGGGAGGACGUCAAAUCAUCAUGCCCCCUAUGACCUGGGCUACACACGUACUACAAUGGCGAGUACAACGGGAAGCGAUGUGGUGACACAAAGCGGAUCUCUUAAAACUUCUCUCAGUUCGGAGAGUAGGCUGCAACUCGCCUACAUGAAGCCGGAAUC